GACGAUGAAGUUGACUCAACUGAGAGGGAUACUGCAGUUUUAACUUCAUCUGCUAAAUCAUCACGUCUGUCUGGGGUGACCAAGAAAAGCGCCACUGAAAUUGGACAAAAACAAAACACAGAUCUGCCUUCAACCAAAGAAAUAUCAGAUGAUGAAGUACCGGUGGCCACAGAAGUGUCUGGC